AUUGUUGACAAUAACUGACUGAAGGUUUUUAAAGUCCAUGAUAUCUGCAUAAAUGAAAGGACCUGAAGGAAGAAAGAAUAGGUGUUAUGUAAUGAAUUUAAAAGCCACGUCACCUGUGAUCAAAACCCGUGGAGUUUCGCCGCUAUAAAAACGCCGAGUUGGAAAUUCAUGAAGUAACGGGUUAAGAUGUUUUAAAUCUUUCAUGAUCUUUCCUAUUACAAUCAUUUUAAGAAAACUUUUAAAGACUUUUCAAUUUCUUUUACUAGUUAGUUCUUCCUGGUACGUGCUCGCGUGCAAUGUAACUUAAUUGGGGUAUAGACUGGGCUGGUCUCGUGUGCGUCGCAGAAUUAUAUUAAAAUAUCACGUGACCACAUAGGAAACUGUAUCUACAAAUCAGUCACUCAGUGGUCUGAGUGCAUGUGUAUAAAGUAUAUAACUUCCUAAGGGAACACAAGUGACCCUUGCUGGCUUGUUCUCAUUGUAUAAUUGUUCUAAAAAAUUCAUUUCACAAGAUUUAAAUAGAUGUUCCUCUACGAG